UUCGUCCUACGGGAGGCAGCAGUGAGGAAUAUUGGUCAAUGGACGGAAGUCUGAACCAGCCAUGCCGCGUGAAGGAUGAAGGCGUUCUGCGUUGUAAACUUCUUUUAUUAGGGAAGAAACCACAGAUUUCUAUUUGUGUUGACGGUACCUUAUGAAUAAGCACCGGCUAACUCCGUGCCAGCAGCCGCGGUAAUACGGAGGGUGCAAGCGUUAUCCGGAUUUACUGGGUUUAAAGGGUGUGUAGGCGGACUUAUAAGUCAGGGGUGAAAUCUCCGAGCUCAACUCGGAAACUGCCUUUGAUACUAUUAGUCUUGAAUUAUGUCGAGGUUGGCGGAAUAUAACAUGUAGCGGUGAAAUGCAUAGAUAUGUUAUAGAACACCGAUUGCGAAGGCAGCUGGCUAGACAUAUAUUGACGCUGAGGCACGAAAGCGUGGGUAGCGAACGGGAUUAGAUACCCCGGUAGUCCACGCCCUAAACGAUGAUUACUCGUCAUUAGCGAUACACAGUUAGUGACCAAGCGAAAGUAUUAAGUAUCCACCUGCAAAGUUGCGCCCCGGC
rnacentral:rRNA from 1 species